rnacentral:rRNA from 1 species
GUUCCUACGGGGCGCAGCAGUGGGGAAUAUUGGGCAAUGGGCGCAAGCCUGACCCAGCAACGCCGCGUGAAGGAAGAAGGCUUUCGGGUUGUAAACUUCUUUUCUUGGGGACGAAGAAAGUGACGGUACCCAAGGAAUAAGCCACGGCUAACUACGUGCCAGCAGCCGCGGUAAUACGUAGGUGGCAAGCGUUAUCCGGAUUUAUUGGGUGUAAAGGGCGUGUAGGCGGGAUUGCAAGUCAGAUGCGGAAGCC